GUGACGAGAGGUGGUAGAUAUCAAACAUAACUCCAUAGAUCUCCAGCUUUAACUCCUUGCGUUUGAGUAGGUUCAUCAGGACUUGAGAGUCUGAGAAGAUAGAGACCACUUCAAUAUAUUGAUUCCGGGCAAAGGUUAUGGCAGCAAGCACCGCCAAACUUUCCGCCAUGAGGGGCGACGAGACAGAGCUCAAGGUCGCUGCAUGUUGUGUUGUAGAAUUCCGAUCAUCAAUUAUCCAACCGAGUCCAGCAUAGCUCGUUGUAGCACUCCAGGCUGCGUCCGCGAAGAUGGAGCAGGAGUUCGAGCGAUUAGGGCUUGGUUCGAGCCUGAUCAAAGGUCUCGUUGUGGGAGGUGAUUGGAUGAUCUAAGCCGUCAUCCAUUCUCUAGCCUCUCUUAGCGCUUUUUGGAUCGUUUCCUCUGCUGUAUAGGUGCGCUUCUCAAAAAUGAGCUGAUUUCUUGAUGUCCAGAGGGACCAGACGAUCCACGAUGCUAGUGUUCUUGGUCCAAGUCCAACCGGUGGGAGAGUGGGGAGUUUCCUUAAUGUUUCCCAACCGUCUCUUGUCGUCAGGAAGCUCGUGGAAGUGACUGGAUGAGCUAGCGGGGCAAGGCUCCACACCUUAACUGCAAAAGGGCAACUAAACAACAGACAUUUGGUAACCACUCGGCGGUAGCAUUGGUGUUCGUUGAGGGAGUGGCUAGUCUCUCCUUUUCCUCCAUCAGAGACAGUUCCCGUGAGCACAAGGUCAGAGACUUUGAGAAGGCGCGUUUCCUCUGUGGUUGGUCCAACUGGCCUCAGUUGCUCAGAGUGUGAUAACCAUGGAUCAUCCCAGAUGCUAAUUCUUUCACCAGUGCCUACCAUCCAGCCCAGUUGGAGUGUAAGAAGAUCUCUGCCUACUAGCACACUUCUCCAGUCAUGCGAUGCUGAGGACGGAGCUUUGCAAGUUAGAAACGAUUUUGAUUGACAGUAUUUGCCAAGGAGACAACAAGCUAACAUGCAGGAUGGGUUCUUUAUGAUGCGCCAACCCACUUUGGCCAGGAGAGCAUCAUUGAAAGAGAUUGAAUGUUAUCACAGAAGGAUUUGGGAGUUUAAAACACGACAUUGAGUGUGCUGGCAUCGCUGCUAGAACACUCUUGGUCAUUACCAUUUUCCCAGCAGUAGAGAAGAAUUUUGUGGACCAACUAGAACACUCUUGGUCAUUACAUUGAGUGUGCUGGCAUCGCUCGCACUACCUUCUUAAUCUUAAAAAAUUCUUAUGACCAAUUCCGAUAGAGCUCAAAAAGGUCUUUAUUUAAAAGAAAACACAAGCGUUUCAUCAAAAUUUUGGUGGCUUCCAGAUACUCAAAGUUUUUGGUCUUAUACGAUAUAUUUAACUUCCAUCAAUUAAGAAUCAUGAUGUUCACUGUGCUUUGGUUUAUAAUUUUGCAUCCCACGAAUGCUCAUUUGAAUCAACCAUCUU